UCAUAGGUAGUAUAGUGGUUAGUAUUUGUGCCUGUCGUCGAGAGUUAAACACUAGGUUGCGCGAGACAGGAGUUUAAUUCCCCGUCUGAGAG